AGGGUCAAGAAGGGCUUGAUGGAGAAAGAGGAAAACCCGGACAGCAAGGCUUACCUGGGGAUCCUGGAUCACCAGGCAAGCCGGGAGCAAAGGGAUCCAAAGGUGAUGUGGGUCAAAAAGGAAAGCAAGGAGCACGGGGCAGUGCAGGGAGCAGAGGCUCACCGGGCAUCCUUGGGCUACCAGGUCCUCGAGGAGUGGUGGGAAGGCAAGGUCAAGAGGGAGCCCCUGGAGUGGACGGAGUGCCCGGGAAGGACGGUGUGCCCGGAAUCCUGGUGAGUUUCAAUUAC
rnacentral:lncRNA from 1 species